AUACGUAGCUGGCAGGAGAGAUGCCAUGAUCAUGAAAGUGUUUUUUGCAGGAUGAGGCUCAUCCAUUUCAUGCUGACCCCAUGAUUUUCCCAAACACGAAACACUGGCUGCAAAUUUUGUAGUAGUGGAGGGCUACAUUCACAAUUUCCUCUG
ensembl:snRNA U1 U1 spliceosomal RNA